AGAGAGUGAAGAGGGAGCAAGAGAAGAGAGAUUAAUAUGGCUUGAGCAAGAUUGAAGCAAGCAAACAACAAAACAAACUCCUACAAACCUCCAUAAUCAUCCUACUUCAUCCUCUCCACCGAAACAUUCAUAUUUUCUAGAGAGAGAGAGAGACAUGGGUGGAGUGAUUUUACUUGAUUUAAGCUACGGGAGUGUUCAAGGAGAAAGGAAAUCAGAUUCUAGCAGGUC
rnacentral:lncRNA from 1 species